UGCAAGUCGAGCGGAGUGAUGGUGCUUGCACUAUCACUUAGCGGCGGACGGGUGAGUAAUGCUUAGGAAUCUGCCUAUUAGUGGGGGACAACAUUUCGAAAGGAAUGCUAAUACCGCAUACGUCCUACGGGAGAAAGCAGGGGAUCUUCGGACCUUGCGCUAAUAGAUGAGCCUAAGUCGGAUUAGCUAGUUGGUGGGGUAAAGGCCUACCAAGGCGACGAUCUGUAGCGGGUCUGAGAGGAUGAUCCGCCACACUGGGACUGAGACACGGCCCAGACUCCUACGGGAGGCAGCAGUGGGGAAUAUUGGACAAUGGGCGCAAGCCUGAUCCAGCCAUGCCGCGUGUGUGAAGAAGGCCUUAUGGUUGUAAAGCACUUUAAGCGAGGAGGAGGCUACUGAAGUUAAUACCUUCAGAUAGUGGACGUUACUCGCAGAAUAAGCACCGGCUAACUCUGUGCCAGCAGCCGCGGUAAUACAGAGGGUGCAAGCGUUAAUCGGAUUUACUGGGCGUAAAGCGCGCGUAGGCGGCUAAUUAAGUCAAAUGUGAAAUCCCCGAGCUUAACUUGGGAAUUGCAUUCGAUACUGGUUAGCUAGAGUGUGGGAGAGGAUGGUAGAAUUCCAGGUGUAGCGGUGAAAUGCGUAGAGAUCUGGAGGAAUACCGAUGGCGAAGGCAGCCAUCUGGCCUAACACUGACGCUGAGGUGCGAAAGCAUGGGGAGCAAACAGGAUUAGAUACCCUGGUAGUCCAUGCCGUAAACGAUGUCUACUAGCCGUUGGGGCCUUUGAGGCUUUAGUGGCGCAGCUAACGCGAUAAGUAGACCGCCUGGGGAGUACGGUCGCAAGACUAAAACUCAAAUGAAUUGACGGGGGCCCGCACAAGCGGUGGAGCAUGUGGUUUAAUUCGAUGCAACGCGAAGAACCUUACCUGGCCUUGACAUAGUAAGAACUUUCCAGAGAUGGAUUGGUGCCUUCGGGAACUUACAUACAGGUGCUGCAUGGUUGUCGUCAGCUCGUGUCGUGAGAUGUUGGGUUAAGUCCCGCA
rnacentral:rRNA from 1 species